AGAGUUUGAUCCUGGCUCAGGACGAACGCUGGCGGCGUGCUUAACACAUGCAAGUCGAACGAUGAAGCCCAGCUUGCUGGGUGGAUUAGUGGCGAACGGGUGAGUAACACGUGGGUGAUCUGCCCUGCACUUCGGGAUAAGCCUGGGAAACUGGGUCUAAUACCGGAUAGGACCUCGGGAUGCAUGUUCCGGGGUGGAAAGGUUUUCCGGUGCAGGAUGGGCCCGCGGCCUAUCAGCUUGUUGGUGGGGUAACGGCCCACCAAGGCGACGACGGGUAGCCGGCCUGAGAGGGCGACCGGCCACACUGGGACUGAGACACGGCCCAGACUCCUACGGGAGGCAGCAGUGGGGAAUAUUGCACAAUGGGCGCAAGCCUGAUGCAGCGACGCCGCGUGAGGGAUGACGGCCUUCGGGUUGUAAACCUCUUUCAGUACCGACGAAGCGCAAGUGACGGUAGGUACAGAAGAAGCACCGGCCAACUACGUGCCAGCAGCCGCGGUAAUACGUAGGGUGCGAGCGUUGUCCGGAAUUACUGGGCGUAAAGAGCUCGUAGGCGGUUUGUCGCGUCGUCUGUGAAAACCCGCAGCUCAACUGCGGGCUUGCAGGCGAUACGGGCAGACUUGA
rnacentral:rRNA from 1 species